GGCGGGCCCCGGCCCGGGGGCGGGGGCACGGGGGGAACGCGAAGAACCUUACCAAGGCUUGACAUAUACCGGAAAGCAUCAGAGAUGGUGCCCCCCUUGUGGUCGGUAUACAGGUGGUGCAUGGCUGUCGUCAGCUCGUGUCGUGAGAUGUUGGGUUAAGUCCCGCAAAGAGCGCAACCCUUGUUCUGCGUUGCCAGCAUUCCCUUCGGGGUGAUGGGGACUCACAGGAGACUGCCGGGGUCAACUCGGAGGAAGGUGGGGACGACGUCAAGUCAUCAUGCCCCCUAUGUCUUGGGCUGCACACGUGCUACAAUGGCCGGUACAAAGAGCUCCGAUACCCCGAGACGGAGCGAAUCUCCCCAAUCCCCACUCAGUUCGGAUUGGCGUUUGCAACUCGACCCCAUGAAGUCGGAGUUGCUAGUAAUCGC
rnacentral:rRNA from 1 species